UCCAGAUGUCCUCCUCUAUCUCCUGUGGGGU
rnacentral:piRNA from 1 species